UUAACCUCCCCCCUCUUCACCGCCGAAACCCCUUCUUCUCCGUGCCCUAAACCUCUCACGUAGCCCUUUCCCCUCUUCAGUGCCGAGCCUCUCCCUCCCCUUCCCUCUCCCUCGCAUGAACACCUCGGAUGUCGCCGGCCUCUCCUCACGCCAGCAUCGGAGAUGUUGCACCAUCGUCGGUCGCGAUGAGUCAUCGGCCUCUCCUCUCUCGAGUCAUAGCCGCGACCUCUCCUCACGCGAGCACCCCAACAGUCGGUGAUCUCCCCUCCCCUGCCUCAACUCGGCACCAUAGCAACCACCAGCGGGUCUUCUUCUUUGCGAAUCAUAACUGCCAUCUCGUGCCCUAGCCGAUCCUCUUCCCCGCUCUGACGCCGACAAGCGGCAAGCCCCAGCUUGCCUGCCCUAGAUCUGUCUCUCAUCGCCACACCUCUUCUCACUCGAACUCCCCUCUACGGUUGACGCUGCCCUUUGCCGUGAGUAGCCCACACCGACGCCGACCCCUCUCCUCCCGAGCCGUGCGCUAACUGAUCCAGCAGGGUUCUUCCGAUGCUGUUUGGGGUUGCUGGAGAGGUCUAGAUACGUUGAGAUUUUGGAUCAAGAUCAUGAAGCAUUCGACUGGGCUGGUUGGUGUUUUGUUCCUUUCCUUGGUUCCUGAAAAGCUUGGAUAGGUUGUUGAGUUUUCUUUUGCCAGGUGACAGGUAGAUGAUUGAGAAGUUGCUUGGAGAGGCCCGGCUGCCAGUUCCACGUCACACUCGAGGAUAGUUUUCUUUUUGGGUUUGUUAUCGUUUGGGUGGUAUGUUGAUUGUGUAUUUUGCUUUUCAAUAAGUCGACGUGAAUUUUGGAGUUAAGUCUGGUGAUUGCAGGUAUUUUCUUUAUUGCCGUUGUUGGUCUUACGUUCAUAUUAUUUUAUGUUUUCCGAUGCGUUUA